rnacentral:rRNA from 1 species
GGGUAGUAAUUUGAAACCUAAAGAAUUUGGCGGUUUUUAAACUUACUAGAGGAACCUGUCCUGUAAUCGAUAGUCCACGAAUUUAUUUACCUACCCUUGUAAUCAGCUUAUAUACCGCCGUUUAGUGAACUAAAUGAAUAGUUUCUCUAAAUUAACUAGUUAAAAAAAUCAGGUCAAGGUGUAGUUUAUGGGUAGGAAGAGAUGGGUUACAAUGAUAUUUUAAAUGGAUAUUAAGCUUUAGGGGUUAAUUGAAGGUGGAUUUAGAAGUAAAUAUUGACUAUUUGAAGAAAGCUCUUAAAAAUGUACACAU